GUGCUCGCUUCAGCAGCCCAUCUACUAAAAUUGGAACGAUACAGAGAAGAAUAGCAGGCCCCUGCGCAAGGAUGACACGCAAAUUUAAAUAUGGAAGUGUUCCAUAAUAAU
ensembl:snRNA U6 U6 spliceosomal RNA